ACGGGAGGCAGCAGUGGGGAAUAUUGCACAAUGGGCGCAAGCCUGAUGCAGCGACGCCGCGUGAGCGAAGAAGUAUUUCGGUAUGUAAAGCUCUAUCAGCAGGGAAGAUAAUGACGGUACCUGACUAAGAAGCACCGGCUAAAUACGUGCCAGCAGCCGCGGUAAUACGUAUGGUGCAAGCGUUAUCCGGAUUUACUGGGUGUAAAGGGAGCGUAGGCGGUUUUACAAGUCUGAUGCGAAAGCCCGGGGCUCAACUCCGGUAUUGCAUUGGAAACUGUAGAACUAGAGUGUCGGAGGGGUAAGUGGAAUUCCUAGUGUAGCGGUGAAAUGCGUAGAUAUUAGGAGGAACACCAGUGGCGAAGGCGGCUUACUGGACGAUUACUGACGCUGAGGCUCGAAAGCGUGGGGAGCAAACAGGAUUAGAUACCCUGGUA
rnacentral:rRNA from 1 species